GACAUAGGUGGCAAUCGUUAUCCGGAAUUAUUGGGCGUAAAGAGUGCGUAGGUGGUUUAAUAAGUUACUGGUGGUAAAUUAGGGCUCAACCCUAUGGAAGUCAGUAAUACUAUUAAACUAGAGGAUCGGAGAGGUUAACGGAAUUCUAUGUGUAGCGGUAAAAAGCUCAAAUAUAUAGAGGAACACCAAGUGGCGAAGGCAGUUAACUAUUCUGCUCCUGACGUUGAGGCACGAAAGCGUGGGGAGCAAGACGG
rnacentral:rRNA from 1 species